CGGCUACAUCAUAUUGAAACACUGGUUUCCAUUUGAUUACUGAAGUUAAGCAACAUCGAUCCUGAUCAAUACCUAAAUGGGUGACCACUUGGGAAUACUAGAUGCUGUUA